AUUCUUCUGCAGUUCAUAAAUGUGAUGAUUGGGUAUUUAUGCUCUUCUGUGAGAUGUGCCUCCCUUAAACCUUGUUAUGACCUUGUUACCUGUCUGAAG
ensembl:snoRNA small nucleolar RNA U13